AAAAAAAAAAGGGGGGGGGGGAGAAAGCUGUAUGGAAACUCUCAAGUUUCAUCCUGCUUUCUCAGAACUAAGUUGGAGAAAUUUUAUAUGGAAAUGUUACAAUUUUUUUUGCUUUGCCUAUUUUUUUUAUUUAUUAAGAUAAGUCUAAGACAUUGCCUUGAGCUUAACGUUGGGAGAGUAAAAUUCAGGUGCAGUUCUGAAGUUGCUGCAAGCGCCGAGCUCAGUGCCACUUGAGGUUCAUCACAGCAGCAUAUGGAUGUCUACGUUAAGUUUUGACGACAGUAUAUAUUUUUUAUAUGUUUCAUGCAUUGUGAGGUAACUUCAUGUGGUACACCCAUCGUGUACAUUGGGCCAGCCCCACGGAGGAGCCCUGUUCUCUUUGCUUACGGCAGGGUGAGGGAGGAGCAAUGAGGACUUGGGAUGCAGGCAGUGCAAGUCGGCACCUGGAGGUGGGUGGUCAGGACGGCCCCAGUCAGCUGGUGAGUGCUGCUCUGAGGAGUGCUAAGGAGUGUGCAGGCGCUGGGGAGUGAAAAUGAGAAUUGUAGGGCACCUCUGUUUAAUUCCCACUCUCAUGUUUCCAGCCUUCUCCUGGGACUGCAGCUACCUGAGCAGUGCGAUGCGGCUGAAGUCAUUGUUGAAAGUCAUGGUAGUCUCUGGAAGCUCUUCUGAACACGUGAAAAGAAACCAUGAGCCAAACAGAAGGAAGGAGCUGGAGGUGUAAUUGUCAACCCGUGUGUGUCUCUGAUUUCACCAGCUACUGCACGUGUAUAGUUUAUCAAUUUAUUUCUGUUAGAAAGUAAACAAAUCUCACUUUUCUUAGGCGCUCUCA